GGCGAACAGGAGCAGGGAAAGCGCCUCCGAUACGCCAGGCCUAGGGACCUGCGGGGAGAGGGCGAGGUUAACACCCGGCAUGGGCCUCUGAUUGGCUCCUGGGACUCGCCCCGCCUACGCCCAUAGGUGUCUGUACAUGCCCCGCAGAGCAGACGGCCCACCUCCUCCCGGCCCUCCAGGGAAGGGGACACAUGAGGGACUCGCCUGUGGCUCCCUCUGCCUGCAGCAACUCCAUCCGCUCCUGCAACUGCCGUACGUGCGCCUCUAGGUCCCGGUUCCGAGCCUCUGCCUCGCGUAGUUGACUGUGGGGAGGUAACGGGCAGCUGCUUCAAAGACCUCCUGAUUUGAGGAAGGGGAGCGACAGCGCGAAGAGAACACUCUCAGGUGGGCCAGUGGCCCCUCCUCUGCUUAGGAAAAGCCCUGCCCCUCCCCUGGCCUUGGGCCCCUGGGAGCUGCUCUUUGUAAACCUUCUGCAGUGACUCGGGGUCCAGACCCCCAUGUUCCAGGGUCAGCUCGUCUCCUCCCUUGACAUGUGAUCUCUGCAGACCCCUCUUCUUAGGGCCACAGGACAGGGAGGCCGACCUGAUGAAGGAGACUGCUUGGCUCUGGCCACCUCCACAGAUGUGGUCCUAAGACUGGACAUGAGACCCCACGAUGGCGACUUGAGAUCAGCACACCCCACUCAGCUGUGGGAAGGGGACAGCUCCUCCCUAGGGUACGAAGCGGCUGUCCCCACCAACCUAGCAGUCCCUCCUGUGGGAACAUGACUCAGGACCCAGCUAUCCUGGGCAUGCAUCUGGGCUCCAAUAGAGGAUGGGUUCAAUCCUGACCCACCAUUCAGGCCCCACAGCAGUUCAGAAUCGAGUUAGAGUUCAUUAACGGUAAGGUACAGUAUUUGUAAUGUUGUCCUGUAAUAAAAGCUGAUUAGAAAACCAA